rnacentral:rRNA from 1 species
UUUUGGGAUUACUUGGCUGUGGAGCACAUGAAAACUCCACAGUUAAGCGUGCUCAGGUGGAAGUGGUACCAGGAUGGGUGACCUCCUGGGAAGACUCCACAGGAGCAACCA